rnacentral:rRNA from 2 species
AGUCAAGUAAUUAAGUGCAUGUGGUGGAUGCCUUGGCAGUCAGAGGCGAUGAAAGACGUGAUAGCCUGCGAAAAGCUCCGGGGAGGCGGCAAAUAUCCUUUGAUCCGGAGAUGUCUGAAUGGGGGAACCCACCUACUUUAAGGUAGGUAUUGCAACAUGAAUACAUAGUGUUGCAAGGCGAACGAGGGGAAGUGAAACAUCUCAGUACCCUUAGGAAAAGAAAUCAAUUGAGAUUCCCUCAGUAGCGGCGAGCGAACGGGGAUCAGCCCAUUAAGUUAUGUGUGUUUUAGUGGAACGCUCUGGGAAGUGCGAACGUAGAGGGUGAUAUUCCCGUACACGAAAGGGCACACAUAAUGAUGACGAGUAGGGCGAGGCACGUGAAACCUUGUCUGAAUAUGGGGGGACCAUCCUCCAAGGCUAAAUACUCCUGACUGACCGAUAGUGAACCAGUACCGUGAGGGAAAGGCGAAAAGAACCCCUGUGAGGGGAGUGAAAUAGAUCCUGAAACCGCAUGCAUACAAGCAGUGGGAGCACCUUCGUGGUGUGACUGCGUACCUUUUGUAUAAUGGGUCAGCGACUUAUAUUCAGUAGCGAGGUUAACCGUAUAGGGGAGCCGUAGAGAAAUCGAGUCUUAAUAGGGCGUUUAGUUGCUGGGUAUAGACCCGAAACCAGGCGAUCUAUCCAUGAGCAGGUUGAAGGUUGGGUAACACUAACUGGAGGACCGAACCCACUGUCGUUGAAAAGCCAGGGGAUGACUUGUGGAUAGGGGUGAAAGGCUAAUCAAGCCUGGUGAUAGCUGGUUCUCCCCGAAAGCUAUUUAGGUAGCGCCUCGGACGAAUACCAUAGGGGGUAGAGCACUGUUUCGGCUAGGGGGUCAUCCCGACUUACCAAACCGAUGCAAACUCCGAAUACCUAUGAGUACUAUCCGGGAGACAGACUGCGGGUGCUAACGUCCGUAGUCAAGAGGAAAACAAUCCAGACCGCCAGCUAAGGCCCCAAAAUCAUAGUUAAGUGGGAAACGAUGUGGGAAGGCAUAGACAGCUAGGAGGUUGGCUUAGAAGCAGCCACCCUUUAAAGAAAGCGUAAUAGCUCACUAGUCGAGUCGGCCUGCGCGGAAGAUGUAACGGGGCUAAAACUAUGUGCCGAAGCUGCGGAUGUAUACUUUGUAUACGUGGUAGGGGAGCGUUCUGUAAGCCGAUGAAGGUGUGUUGAGAAGCAUGCUGGAGGUAUCAGAAGUGCGAAUGCUGACGUGAGUAACGACAAAACGGGUGAAAAACCCGUUCGCCGAAAGACCAAGGGUUCCAGUCCAACGUUAAUCGGGGCUGGGUGAGUCGACCCCUAAGGCGAGGCCGAAAGGCGUAGUCGAUGGGAAAAUGGUUAAUAUUCCAUUACUUCUGUGUAAUGCGAUGAGAGGACGGAGAAGGCUAAAUCAGCCUGGCGUUGGUUGUCCAGGUGAAAGGAUGUAGGCAUGUAUCUUAGGCAAAUCCGGGGUACUCUAUGCUGAGAUCUGAUAGCAAGCUGUACUUGUACAGCGAAGUGGUUGAUGCCAUGCUUCCAGGAAAAGUCUCUAAGCUUCAGUUACACAGGAAUCGUACCCGAAACCGACACAGGUGGUCAGGUCGAGUAGACCAAGGCGCUUGAGAGAACUCUGCUGAAGGAACUAGGCAAAAUGGUACCGUAACUUCGGGAGAAGGUACGCUGUUGUUGGUGAUGGAACUUGCUUCCUGAGCUGACGACAGCCGCAGAAACCAGGCCGCUGCAACUGUUUAUUAAAAACAUAGCACUCUGCAAACACGAAAGUGGACGUAUAGGGUGUGAUGCCUGCCCGGUGCUGGAAGGUUAAUUGAUGGGGUUAGCGUAAGCGAAGCUCUUGAUCGAAGCCCCAGUAAACGGCGGCCGUAACUAUAACGGUCCUAAGGUAGCGAAAUUCCUUGUCGGGUAAGUUCCGACCUGCACGAAUGGCAUAAUGAUGGCGGCGCUGUCUCCAGCAGAGGCUCAGUGAAAUCGAAAUCGCUGUGAAGAUGCAGUGUACCCGCGGCUAGACGGAAAGACCCCGUGAACCUUUACUGCAGCUUGACACUGAACUUUGACCUUACUUGUGUAGGAUAGGUGGGAGGCUUUGAAGCUGGAACGCUAGUUCCAGUGGAGCCGUCCUUGAAAUACCACCCUGGUAAUGUUGAGGUUCUAACUCUGUCCCGUGAUCCGGGACGAGGACCGUGUCUGGUGGGUAGUUUGACUGGGGCGGUCUCCUCCUAAAGAGUAACGGAGGAGUACGAAGGUGCGCUCAGCGUGGUCGGAAAUCACGCGUAGAGUAUAAAGGCAAAAGCGCGCUUAACUGCGAGACCCACAAGUCGAGCAGGUACGAAAGUAGGUCUUAGUGAUCCGGUGGUUCUGUAUGGAAGGGCCAUCGCUCAACGGAUAAAAGGUACUCUGGGGAUAACAGGCUGAUACCGCCCAAGAGUUCAUAUCGACGGCGGUGUUUGGCACCUCGAUGUCGGCUCAUCUCAUCCUGGGGCUGAAGCAGGUCCCAAGGGUAUGGCUGUUCGCCAUUUAAAGAGGUACGCGAGCUGGGUUUAGAACGUCGUGAGACAGUUCGGUCCCUAUCUACCGUGGGCGCUGGAAAUUUGAGAGGAUCUGCUCCUAGUACGAGAGGACCAGAGUGGACGAACCUCUGGUGUACCGGUUGUGACGCCAGUCGCAUCGCCGGGUAGCUAUGUUCGGAAGGGAUAACCGCUGAAAGCAUCUAAGCGGGAAGCCUACCUCAAGAUAAGAUUUCCCUAGGACUUUAUGUCCUCUAAAGAGCCGUUCGAGACUAGGACGUUGAUAGGUUGGAUGUGGAAGCAUAGUGAUAUGUGAAGCUGACCAAUACUAAUUGCUCGUGAGGCUUGACUAU